rnacentral:rRNA from 1 species
GAUGAACGCUGGCGGCGUGCCUAAUACAUGCAAGUCGAGCGAACAGACGAGGAGCUUGCUCCUCUGACGUUAGCGGCGGACGGGUGAGUAACACGUGAUAACCUACCUAUAAGACUGGGAUAACUUCGGGAAACCGGAGCUAAUACCGGAUAAUAUAUUGAACCGCAUGGUUCAAUAGUGAAAGACGGUUUUGCUGUCACUUAUAGAUGGAUCCGCGCCGCAUUAGCUAGUUGGUAAGGUAACGGCUUACCAAGGCAACGAUGCGUAGCCGAUCUGAGAGGGUGAUCGGCCACACUGGAACUGAGACACGGUCCAGACUCCUACGGGAGGCAGCAGUAGGGAAUCUUCCGCAAUGGGCGAAAGCCUGACGGAGCAACGCCGCGUGAGUGAUGAAGGUCUUCGGAUCGUAAAACUCUGUUAUUAGGGAAGAACAAAUGUGUAAGUAACUAUGCACGUCUUGACGGUACCUAAUCAGAAAGCCACGGCUAACUACGUG